CUACGCCUUGCACUCCGGCAACAACCACACACGGUGUAGCAACCGCCGGAAGUUACUGUUGUGGCGGCGCCGCCUCCUCCGGCCACCAUGGCUCGAGAUUCUUGGGGGGUUUUGCUUGUCUCAGUCCCAGCAACAUUCCCACAAAAGGAAUCGAGCCAAAUCGAAGUGUGACUGACGAAACGAGUGAGGAAAUUACUUUCAGAGUCGUGGAAGUUGCACGCAGGAAAGAAGUGGAUAACUCCGCAGGUGUGGAUUAGCGGGAAUUGACGGACCGCUCAGAGGACUUGAAGUUAUUUAUCUCCAGCUUGUGUGAGGAUUUUGUGUGACUAUCUUGUGAGUUUGUUGUGAGGAUUACGCAAUUCCAUUUGUUAUAAUAUUGAAUUAUAAUUUGGGUUGUAAUAAUCGGUUUAACUGAGUUGUAUUUUGAACUCAGAGAUGAUCCGCUGUGGCAUUUUAAAUGAUUUCGAUUCGUUGAAAUUGUUUGGUGUUUAACGACUUUGAAAUUUUGAGUUUUUAAGC